GACAGAGGGUGCAAACGUUGCUCGGAAUUACUGGGCGUAAAGGGCGUGUAGGCGGGAAGGCAAGUCGGGCGUGAAAGCCCCAGGCUCAACCUGGGAACUGCACUCGAAACUGCCUUUCUUGAGUGCCGGAGAGGAAAGCGGAAUUCCUGGUGUAGAGGUGAAAUUCGUAGAUAUCAGGAGGAACACCAGUGGCGAAGGCGGCUUUCUGGACGGUAACUGACGCUGAGACGCGAAAGCGUGGGGAGCAAACAGG
rnacentral:rRNA from 1 species